rnacentral:rRNA from 1 species
AGCGAACGCUGGCGGCAGGCUUAACACAUGCAAGUCGAGCGGGCAUCCUUGUGGUGUCAGCGGCAGACGGGUGAGUAACGCGUGGGAACGUGCCCUUCGGUUCGGAAUAACUCAGGGAAACUUGAGCUAAUACCGGAUACGUGCGAGAGCAGAAAGGUUUAUCUGCCGAAGGAUCGGCCCGCGUCUGAUUAGCUAGUUGGUGAGGUUAUGGCUCACCAAGGCGACGAUCAGUAGCUGGUCUGAGAGGAUGAUCAGCCACACUGGGACUGAGACACGGCCCAGACUCCUACGGGAGGCAGCAGUGGGGAAUAUUGGACAAUGGGGGCGACCGUGAUCCAGCCAUGCCGCGUGAUGUAUGCCGCCCUUAGGGGUGUAAAGCGCUGUUCUCCGGGACGAUAAUGACGGUACCGGAGGAAUAAGCCCCGGCUAACUUCGUG